rnacentral:lncRNA from 1 species
CUCACAUGUAUUGCUAGUCUCAGCCUCCACUGGGAAUGGUGGAACUUGGUGAUGACAUCAGCCCCUUGGAAAUCCGAAGAGCUUUGUCAUGUAUUCUAAAAGUUACAAACUCCACUGACAAAACAUGUCCUGAACGUUUUGUGCCUUCGGUGCUGCCUCUCCUUUGUUCUGGGCCAGCACUGGGGCUUCCUUUCUUUUCAAAUGCAUAUCUGAAUUUCCUUUCAAAUGUAUUCUUUAUGAUACCAUAUUUAUUGUUACUCCCAGCUUUCAAAAUAUAUAUUCAGUGCACUUUUCAAAUGGUCAAAAGGUGUUUGCUUUUGGUUGAAGGCCUCAUUCCUCUGGGCAUCGCAAAACAAUUUCUGGAAAGCUGGUGAGGAGGGAUCUUGAGCUGGACUCGGGAAUAAGAGACCUUGUUAAAGUGCUGUGUUGAGACAAGAGUUUCAUAAGUACUCUUGUCCCUGCACCCAGGGGACAUCUCAUUUUUUCCUGCAACACGCUUGCAGGAGCCGUGCCUUUGCAGGCAGGAUCCCCAGCUGCUAGGUCACGCCCACAGCAGAAGGUCCCAGGGACUGGGAGUAAUCGUCAGUUUCCCAUCGUUGCCAUCUACGGAGGCUCUGCAUUGUCAUGAGCACCUCGCAGUUAUGACCUCUCACCCUGCAACAGCCCUGAGUCGUGGGGCUUUCUAUCCUUAUUUCACAGCAACAGGCCCAAAGGUAAGACAUAGUUGCCCAGUUACACCACUGGGAAGGGCGGACAGAGACACAGAGAGACCCUGGGGGAACCUUGGACUCCAGAAUCCUCUGUCAUUGAAUACAUCUGUGUGGGACAGAAUGGAGGAAACGUUGCUGCAUCUUCCCAUCUGCCGCGUGGCUUUCGGUUUUAGUAUUUUGUAUUUUGGUAUACACUCGGCAACGUUAGUCAACACCUUCAUGUGUACGGGCAAAGGAUUACCCGGGUGCCGAGGCAAGAGACUGAAGGCACAAACUGUUGCAGUAUAAUAAAGAAAAUAGUUAGAAUAAAGAAUAGUUAUAAUACAAAUUAGAUAUAGAGAUAAUCAUGGGCAAUUAUCAAUCAUUAGUAUAAACAUUAUUGAUCAUUAGCUUUUAAUAUUACUCUUUGUUGUGUUACUAAUAUAACCAAGGAAUAACCGGCGGGUAUAGGGUCAGGUGCUGAAGGGACAUUGUGAGAGUGACCUAGAAGGCAAGAGGUGAGCCCUCUGUCACGCUUGCAUAAGAGCCACUUGAGGGCUCCUUGGUCAAGCGGUAAUGCCAGUGCCUGGAAAGGCACCCAUUACUUAGCAGACCAUGAAAGGGAGUCUCCUUUCCUUGGACGAGUCAGGGAACACUCCGCUCCACCAGCUUCUUGUGGAAGGCUGGAUAUUAUCCAGGCCUGCCCGCAGUCAUCUGGAGGCCUAAACCCCUCCCUGUGGUGCUGUGCUUCAAUGGUCACGCUCCUUAUUCACCUUCAUGUUCCUCCCAU